GGGUAAAGUCCUACCAAGGCGACGAUCUGUAGCGGUCUGAGAGGAUGAUCCGCCACACUGGAACUGAGACACGGCCCAGACUCCUACGGGAGGCAGCAGUGGGGAAUUUGGACAAUGGGGGCAACCCUGAUCCAGCCAUGCCGCGUGAGUGAAGAAGGCCUUCGGGUUGUAAAGCUCUUUCGGCCGGGAAGAAAUCGCAUGGGCUAAUACCCUGUGUGGAUGACGGUACCGGAAUAAGAAGCACCGGCUAACUCCGUGCCAGCAGCCGCGGUAAUACGUAGGGUGCGAGCGUUAAUCGGAAUUACUGGGCGUAAAGCGUGCGCAGGCGGUUUAGUAAGACAGGCGUGAAAUCCCCGGGCUCAACCUGGGAACUGCGCUUGUGACUGCUAAGCUAGAGUACGGCAGAGGGGGGUGGAAUUCCACGUGUAGCAGUGAAAUGCGUAGAGAUGUGGAGGAACACCGAUGGCGAAGGCAGCCCCCUGGGCCGAUACUGACGCUCAUGCACGAAAGCGUGGGUAGCAAACAGGAUUAGAUACCCUGGUAGUCCACGCCCUAAACGAUGUCAACUAGGUGUUGGGUGGGUAAAACCAUUUAGUACCGUAGCUAACGCGUGAAGUUGACCGCCUGGGGAGUACGGCCGCAAGGUUAAAACGGCAAAGGAAUUGACGGG
rnacentral:rRNA from 1 species